UUGUCUGAUGCCUUCUGUGACAGUUGGGCAGGUCUCUUCAAGCUUUGCGUGCUGUUCUGGUGGCAGUUAACUGUGGGCUUAUUAUUGAGAACUUGCUGAAGUUUUGCUGAAUUUCCAAACCUUAUCCUAGCCAAAUAAAGUAUCUUCCUCCUUUCCAUAUGUUUGUUUCAUAAGAGUAAUGUUGAUCUUCUCUUCUCUUCUUCUUGCAGUAUGGUUUACUGAUUGGAAGUCGGUUUUUUUUUUCCCCC
rnacentral:lncRNA from 1 species